rnacentral:rRNA from 1 species
UACGGAGGGUGCAAGCGUUAUCCGGAUUCACUGGGUUAAAGGGUGCGUAGGAGGGCAGGUAAGUCAGUGGUGAAAUCUCCAAGCUUAACUUGGAAACUGCCGUUGAUACUACCUGUCUUGAAUAUUGUGGAGGUGGAGCGGAAUAAUGUCAUGUAGCGGUGAAAUGCUUAGAUAUGACAUAGAACACCAAUUGCGAAGGCAGCUCACUACUCAAUCAUUGACUCUGAGGCACGAAAGCGUGGGGAUCAAACAGG